UCCCUAAAUAACCACUAACCAACGCCCGCCGGUGGUCACUCACUCGCUGCGACAACCAGGAGGAAGGGAGAUGUCUGGUCGAACGGGGACUUGCAAGCCGCUUGAUUCGUUGAAAUCUGUUGGAGGGUCAUGAGUCUAAGCCGGAAGUCUUCUAUGAUGCAUUGCUCUCUUAAAAACGGUUCAUCGGCUCUCUUCGCUCUUUUUCCGGUUUCUCUUAACCAUGGCGGGUAAUCUCUCUGGUCGAGUCAGUCGGCCAGUGUCUUCCCCUGCUUGACUGGCUGCAGUUUGAACCGGAUGGUCCCUUUAAAUAAGAAUUUAAAUCUAGAACAACUCUUUCUUUGAGCGGCCCGGACAAUCCUGAAUCCUUUAAGGUUGCCAUCCCAUCGAGGCUUAAACGAGGAUGACACGGAGGUGUUGCCCAUUGAGGGGUUGUGGUGACAAGGAGUCACUAAACGAAACGCUAAACCAAAUGAAAAAAAAAAAAAUUGUAAAAGAUUUUCAUUUCCGACCGCAGGUGCAAGGAUUAUGUGUUUGAAACUUAGAUCCAUCCCCGGCAACAUCAACCUGCAGAAAGAAAAAGGCCAUUUUCUAUGGCCUUGACGCUCGAAGUUCACGGAGAUCAUUACGUAAAACGUGUCAUGCAGUGGUGUAGAGGUGGGGUGAGAACGACACGUGUUGCUUCAUUAUCAAAAAGGUCCAAUAGCCGCAAGGCUUAGGAGGUGAGGGUGAGAAAAAAAUCGGAUAAAAGGAGAGAGAAAAGGCGAUUGAAACCAGUCGAGUGAGCAUCUCCGACCCGGCAACAACUCCAUUCUUCGGGCAUUCUUCGUCGUAAUAUCAGUUCGCAAUCAUGGUUAAUUAUGGCGUUGUGUUGCUGCUGGGCGUUGUAUCGUUGAUGUCGACUGCGAGAGAAAUUUGUAUAAAAGGAAAGACUGCUGAGAAAAGGUGACAGAAGUCAAUCAAGUGAGCAUCUCCGACCCGUCAACAACUGCAUUCUUCGUCGUAUAACAGUUUGCAACUACGGUUAACUAUGACGUCGUACAGCUAUUGGUUGUUUCGUCGUUUUCUGGGUCGACCACUGGUGUGCUGAUGCCCCUGGGUAUGGAAGAUACCAAACCGCAACGCCGCCGCCUUACUGCACACCAACAUACGCAACGACCAGUUACUACAUCGAGGUUGCACAAUUAGGUUUACAGUUACACCACCAAGGGUCCAGGCUCCUAAGUACUACACCACCAAGUCACCUGAGUCUACACAACUACCUUUACUGUCCCAAGUACUACAGCAAGGCUCCAAAGUACUACAGCACUAAGGCACCGGACUACUACACAACUAUAUAUGCUGCCCCAACCUGCGACACCGAGGCUCCAGCUUAUUACCUCACCAAAGCGGUCGAACACAGUGGCGCCCAAGUACGAUGGAAAUCAGUCCAGUGAGCAUCUCCGCCACCCAACAAGGCAGCCCCGAAGUUUCGAAUAAACUUCGUUUCAAAUAGUGGAACGGCAAAGAGCGAGGUCUCUUUUUCGAACAAGACGAAUUCUAUUGCAAUCCCUUUAAGAUAGCGGCGGCGUUGCAGUCAUACGUUGACAACGCGUCGUUCAACUUGAUUGUUGGUCGGAAAGCCUAACUUCAUGAUGGCCGUACCAUCACCUACGACAAGUGCCUUAUUGCCACAGGUGGUAAACGAAAAUCUUUGCCAAUCCCUGAGCGGUGCCCCUAUAGAUGUCCACGAGCAAGUGACGCAACAUCUAUGGCCCAGUCCUCCCUAACUAUUUGAGCCAAUGGACUUUCGAGAAGGUGGAAGCGGAAGACGUUUAUGUGUUGCCCAAAGCUAAUGUUGAGGGUGUAAGUCUGGAAGACAACAAGGUCGCAUUGACCUUAAACGAUGAUCAAAAGCAAAUUUAAACUGACCAUUUUCACACCGAAGCUCCGAACUAUUGACUCUAUCCCGAGUUACUACACCACUAAGGCACCUGAAUAAUACACCACACCCUACGCUUCUCCAACUUACUACAAGGACGUUUCUUAAUACAAGAGUCGAAUUUGAAUCAUGUUCAGAUUUGUCGGUCAUCUUAAUAGUUACUAGACACUGGGAAUUGUUGAUCUUUAAUGACAAUCAUUUUUUCAAACCUGGGUAAUCAUUUUGUACGACUUUUCUUGCCACCUAAAAGCCUUUGACAUUGCGACGUUUUCUGAUUUUAUUGGAUCUUUCCUAUUUCGCAUGUUGGAGGUGACUUAUUGCUCUAGUCGCUUUGCUUUCCGACAUGUUGUAGUGUUUGGACAAACUUCAUUUAAAGGGCAAGUUACGAAAGAGAUAUUCUGUGUUGUUUAAAAAUUUGAUGUUAACAGCUCUGUUUUUAACUUCAGUAGGCGUAACAUAUGAGUUGUAGAUAGUGUAUGGUUUCUCGCAGAAGUUUAUUUGAAGGGUCUGGAGUUGAUCAGUCACUUGCCUAUAACUUAUGUAAAACUUCAAAGUUGUAAAAAAUAUACAAAUUGUAAACUAAA
rnacentral:lncRNA from 1 species